AUUGUAGCACUUUGGUUUAUCAAUCAACAUUUCCAUAUAAGCUUGUCUGGUCAACUAACAUGCUGCUGAAGUAAAUGGCAUGGAUUCACAGUUGGUUUUUGGGAAUCUCUAGUCUGUGAAUCUUUGGUUGGAAAGUGUAGCUAAUAUGUUCUUUUGUGACUCAAAUUCACACCUUAUUAUUGAUAAGCUUUCUUGGAGAGUCUGAAGCGAGAUGAUGGAUCUUUGUCAUGUGGG
rnacentral:lncRNA from 1 species